rnacentral:rRNA from 1 species
GGUGGAUUAGUGGCGACGGGUGAGUAACACGUGAGUAACCUGCCCUUAACUCUGGGAUAAGCCUGGGAAACUGGGUCUAAUACCGGAUAGGAGCGUCCACCGCAUGGUGGGUGUUGGAAAGAUUUAUCGGUUUUGGAUGGACUCGCGGCCUAUCAGCUUGUUGGUGAGGUAAUGGCUCACCAAGGCGACGACGGGUAGCCGGCCUGAGAGGGUGACCGGCCACACUGGGACUGAGACACGGCCCAGACUCCUACGGGAGGCAGCAGUGGGGAAUAUUGCACAAUGGGCGCAAGCCUGAUGCAGCGACGCCGCGUGAGGGAUGACGGCCUUCGGGUUGUAAACCUCUUUCAGUAGGGAAGAAGCGAAAGUGACGGUACCUGCAGAAGAAGCACCGGCUAACUACGUGCCAGCAGCCGCGGUAAUACGUAGGGUGCGAGCGUUAUCCGGAAUUAUUGGGCGUAAAGAGCUCGUAGGCGGUUUGUCGCGUCUGUCGUGAAAGUCCGGGGCUUAACCCCGGAUCUGCGGUGGGUACGGGCAGACUAGAGUGCAGUAGGGGAGACUGGAAUUCCUGGUGUAGCGGUGGAAUGCGCAGAUAUCAGGAGGAACACCGAUGGCGAAGGCAGGUCUCUGGGCUGUAACUGACGCUGAGGAGCGAAAGCAUGGGGAGCGAACAGGAUUAGAUACCCUGGUAGUCCAUGCCGUAAACGUUGGGCACUAGGUGUGGGGACCAUUCCACGGUUUCCGCGCCGCAGCUAACGCAUUAAGUGCCCCGCCUGGGGAGUACGGCCGCAAGGCUAAAACUCAAAGGAAUUGACGGGGGCCCGCACAAGCGGCGGAGCAUGCGGAUUAAUUCGAUGCAACGCGAAGAACCUUACCAAGGCUUGACAUGUUCUCGAUCGCCGUAGAGAUACGGUUUCCCCUUUGGGGCGGGUUCACAGGUGGUGCAUGGUUGUCGUCAGCUCGUGUCGUGAGAUGUUGGGUUAAGUCCCGCAACGAGCGCAACCCUCGUUCCAUGUUGCCAGCACGUAGUGGUGGGGACUCAUGGGAGACUGCCGGGGUCAACUCGGAGGAAGGUGAGGACGACGUCAAAUCAUCAUGCCCCUUAUGUCUUGGGCUUCACGCAUGCUACAAUGGCCGGUACAAUGGGUUGCGAUACUGUGAGGUGGAGCUAAUCCCAAAAAGCCGGUCUCAGUUCGGAUUGGGGUCUGCAACUCGACCCCAUGAAGUCGGAGUCGCUAGUAAUCGC